rnacentral:rRNA from 1 species
CCUACGGGCGGCAGCAGUGGGGAAUAUUGGACAAUGGGCGAAAGCUUGAUCCAGCCAUGCCGCGUGUGUGAAGAAGGCCUUCGGGUUGUAAAGCACUUUCAGUGGGGAAGAAAGCCUUGGGGCUAAUACCCUCGAGGAAGGACAUCACCCACAGAAGAAGCACCGGCUAACUCCGUGCCAGCAGCCGCGGUAAUACGGAGGGUGCGAGCGUUAAUCGGAAUUACUGGGCGUAAAGCGCGCGUAGGCGGUCUGAUAAGCCGGUUGUGAAAGCCCCGGGCUCAACCUGGGAACGGCAUCCGGAACUGUCAGGCUAGAGUGCAGGAGAGGAAGGUAGAAUUCCCGGUGUAGCGGUGAAAUGCGUAGAGAUCGGGAGGAAUACCAGUGGCGAAGGCGGCCUUCUGGACUGACACUGACGCUGAGGUGCGAAAGCGUGGGUAGCAAACAGGAUUAGAUACCCCAGUAGUC